rnacentral:misc_RNA from 1 species
UUAUGGAUGAUUGCCAUCGGUCGCCUGUAUGGUUCUACCCUUUUGGGUAGUGCAUGAUUGUUUUGUUGACGCUUAUUUAGCCUGCUCUGUUAAUGUUAUUGUUGACAGGACGGCCGAGAUGUCAGCGAAUUUCAAGUGUUUCCAUGUGCGUAGCCAUGGCAAUGCACUUGGAUGUUCGCUGGGUCUCAUGGAUGCGGUCCCUAUUGUGAGCUCUACGGGCUUCUUGCCCGCAGAACCUAUGAGGUUGCCCCUGCGGAGACCAUCGCUCUAUUGCUUCACCGACACAUCAUCGGUUUAAUCGCCAUGUUGUAGUUGUUGCGAUUUGGGUGUUGUUCUCUGCCUCUGUGGCGUGCCUCUUAGAACAAAGUACUUACGAAGCUGGUUUGCGUUGUCGCAAGGCUCCUCCCAAUUGGGCG